rnacentral:rRNA from 1 species
CUUAUCAACUUUCGAUGGUAGGAUAGAGGCCUACCAUGGUGGUAACGGGUAACGGGGUGUUAGGGCACGACACCGGAGAGGGAGCCUGAGAAACGGCUACCACAUCCAAGGAUGGCAGCAGGCGCGCAAAUUACCCAAUCCCGAAACGGGGAGGUAGUGACAAUAAAUAACAAUACGGGGUUCUUUCGGAUCUCGUAAUUGGAAUGAGUACAAUUUAAAUCUCUUAACGAGGAACAAUUGGAGGGCAAGUCUGGUGCCAGCAGCCGCGGUAAUUCCAGCUCCAAUAGCGUAUAUUAAAGUUGUUGCAGUUAAAAAGCUCGUAGUUGAAUUUCGGGAUCAAAUUGUCGGUCGUGCCUUGGUACGCACUGGCAUUAUUGGUCCCUACCUUCUGAAGAACCGCGAUGUCAUUAAUUUGGUGUCGUGGGGAAUCAGGACUGUUACUUUGAAAAAAUUAGAGUGUUUAAAGCAGGCGCACGCUUGAAUACAUUAGCAUGGAAUAAUGAAAUAGGACGUUUGAUUCUAUUUUGUUGGUUUCUAGGAUCGACGUAAUGAUUAAUAGGGAUAGUUGGGGGCAUUAGUAUUCAAUUGUCAGAGGUGAAAUUCUUGGAUUUAUUGAAGACUAACUGCUGCGAAAGCAUUUGCCAAGGAUGUUUUCAUUAAUCAAGUACGAAAGUUAGGGGAUCGAAGACGAUCAGAUACCGUCGUAGUCUUAACCAUAAACUAUGCCGACUAGGGAUCGGAUGAUGUUAAUUUUUUAAUGACUCAUUCGGCGCCUUACGGGAAACCCAAAGUG